UUUUUUAGGUUCAGAAAGGAGAUUGAAGAAAUGAAAGGGUGUGAGAGUUGGGUGGAAGUAGAGACAGCAGGCUGUUGAGGGCUGUGCAUGGGUGUGAUUGAGGUUCUGUGAUCUGACAUUGCCAGGCUUGGUAGCUGAGGGCAGUGAGAAAGGUGGCCCGUUGGUUAUAUGUGAAAGGCAGGCAACCAAGGGAACGCUGAUCCAUGGAGACUCACCCCAGAAGGCUGUCAUAACCUGCAAUAAUGUAUGAUUUCCAAAGUUGGAGAUUUGUAAUGUUAAGGUGUUUAAUUUGGGGGCAUUAACUGACAGUGUGAGCGUCUGAUAGAACCUGAGCAGAAUACAGGCCUGUUUUCACACACAGCACCCAUGGGCCAAAGCCAAGAACCUUUGUGAAACAGGAUACACUUCCCAAGUCUCUGAUUACAUAUUCCCAUCAUACGCCUGCCUGCCCUGCAUGUCUUGGGAUAUGGCCGGAUCUCCAGCAUAUUACUUCCUUAAAUGGAAAAGCUGCUUUACCAAAAUGCUCGCUCAGGUCCCUGGUAUUUAAAGGGCCCUGAAUUUUCUUUGUUUUUUUCUUGUGUGUGUAUUUUUUUUGUUUGUUUGUUUGUUUGUUUUGUUUUACAGCUAGGGAUUUAACUUAGGGUCUCACACAUGCAAGGCAAGCAUUUUGUGUACUUUUUGUUGUUGUUGUUGUUAGUUUUUCGAGACAGGGUUUCUCUGUGUAGCCCUGGCUGUGUUGGAACUCACUCUGUAGACCAGGCUAGCCUCAAACUCAGAAAUCCGCCUGCCUCUGCCUCCCAAGUGCUGGGAUUAAAGGCGUGCACCACCACCGCCCGGCUUUUUUGUGUACUUCUUAAAUUUGUUAUCUUGAAGCAGUGUCUUGUAUCUAACCUAGACUAGCCUCACAUACAUACUCAAGAGUGACCUUGAACUCCUGUUGUAGGUAGGCAGCAUGCCUGCCUGACUAUUCUAUAUUGAGAUGGAUUCACAGUUGCCUGGGUUGGCCUUGAAUUCCUUCUGUAGCCCAGGUAGGCUUUGCCCUUGGGAUCUUCUACUUCAGCCUCCUAAAUAGCUGCCAUUACAGGCUUGUGCCAACUACCUUAGCUGAAAUAAUGUAAUUUUGAUCAUUAUUACAAGGUAAGGUAACAAUUUUCCCAAGUUGGAAAUCCCUUUGAGUCAUGAGUUGUUAAGUUCCUUCUGCAGUAACUGUUAGCUGUGCCCGGGGCAUCAGAGUUAAUGGUUCCUUAAUCUGGCUUCCUUUGUAGUUCUUGGGAAUUUCCAUUGGAGCUGAGCCCAGCUACGCUCAUUCCUGAGCCGCCACUGACUUUUAAGCAUCUUGGGUUAAUUACAGCUUCCCCAACACCUAAACUGCAAGGCAUACUUUUCACCAAUCUCCACUGAGCACACCAUUAGUUCCCGGCUCUUUUCCUUCCUUGCGUGGUUAGUGUGACCCUGGUGGUCAGCAUAGCAGCUAGGCACUGAGGUGCAUCUGGACUUGGUAUCAGCUGGGCACAUUGAAGAGGGAGUUGUCCCGCUUUUGGGCAGUACUGUUUGAAAUGCUUAUUAAUUUAGCUAACAUAUACUUACAAGUACCUACUAAGUGCUAGGCAUCAGUUUAGGUUUCCAAAUAGAACCCUGAACAAAUAGGCUAGGGAGCCAGCUGAGUCAGUAAAGACCUUGCUGUGCAAGCAUGAGACCUCCCCAGCACACAUGUCAGAAGCCAGGUGUUACAGGGGAGGCCUGUGGUCAUAGCAGGGCGAGGCAGCCAGACUAGGGGAGUUGGUAAAAACUGUCCAUUCAGUGAGAGCCCCUGUCUCAAAAUAUAAGGUGGAGGGGUUUGCCAUGGUGGUCUGGGCUUUUAAUUUCAACACUAGGAGGCAGGGGCAUAUGGAUCUCUUAAACUCCAGGCCAGCCUGUCAGGGAUAGAUAGCCUGCAAAAAAAGAAAAAUUGAACACACGUGUGUGAGACCUGACUGCUACACACAAGCAUGAUGCACACAGUGAACUCACGCUUGUGCCACAGGGAGGGAAGGAGGUCUUAGAAAUGGCUGCUUCUCUAGCAAGCUAUCACAGUAGGGCAGGCUCAUGUUUUAGUGGUGAAUAUGUAGCAACAGUGGGUGUGAGCAGUUGUUUGUAUUCAGCUGAUAGCUUAUGAAAUGUAACUUUUACAUCUAAAUAUUUUAUACCUAAAAGGUCAAAAUUUUAUGACCCUUGUAAUUUAGGUUGGAUUUGUCAUUAUAAAUGUUCUUUGCUCAUAAAUACCCAUAAAUAUUGAGUUACUCCUAAUAAUGAUACAUUCCAGACACCAGUGCCUAGGGGAGAUGGGUAGUUAGUAGGCUUUGUACUGAAAGUAAGCAAUGAGAUAUCAGCUAUUUAGCUAACCACAAACUAAGUGGCUUUGUCAACCACUGUAAGGCAAAGAGCGGGGUAUGCCUUUCCUUACAUGCCUUUACUCGUAGCACGUAGGAGGCAGGGACAGUGACUCUCAGAGUUGGCAGCCUGCUUGCUCUGCAAAGGGAGUUCCAGGCCAGCCAAGACUACACAGUGAGAAGAGGAUACAAUAUAAAGUGUAUGGCGGGGCUGGAGAGAUGGCUCAGGGGUUAAGAGCACUGACUGCUCUUUCAGAGGUCCUGAGUUCAAUUCCCAGCAACCACAUGGUGGCUCACAACCAUCUGUAAUUGGAUCCAAUGCCUUCUUCUGUUGUGUCUGGAACAGUGACAGUGUACUCAUAUACAAUAAAUAAAGAAAUCUUUAAAAAAAAAAAAAAAGAAUCUAGUUU
rnacentral:lncRNA from 1 species